UACGUAGGGGGCAAGCGUUGUCCGGAAUUAUUGGGCGUAAAGAGCGCGUAGGCGGUCCGGUAAGUCGGCUGUGAAAGUCAAGGGCUCAACCCUUGAAAGCCGGCCGAUACUGUCGGACUAGAGUCCGGAAGAGGCGAGUGGAAUUCCCGGUGUAGCGGUGAAAUGCGCAGAUAUCGGGAGGAACACCAAUGGCGAAGGCGGCACUCUGGGCCAUUACUGACGCUGAGGAGCGAAAGCGUGGGGAGCGAACAGG
rnacentral:rRNA from 1 species